rnacentral:rRNA from 1 species
AGUGAACGCUGGCGGCGUGCUUAACACAUGCAAGUCGAACGAGAACGGAAUAUAGCUCGCUAUAUUUGUCGGCUAAGUGGCGCACGGGGGAGUAAUGUAUAGAUAACCUGCCCUUGAGAAAGGAAUAACAGUUGGAAACGACUGCUAAUGCCCUAUAUGCCUUUAAUACAUAAGUAUGCAAGGGAAACGCUUUAGUGCUUAAGGAUGGGUCUGUAUGGUAUCAGCUUGUUGGUGAGGUAAUGGCUCACCAAGGCUAUGACGCCUAACUGGUUUGAGAGGAUGAUCAGUCACACUGGAACUGAGACACGGUCCAGACUCCUACGGGAGGCAGCAGUGGGGAAUAUUGCACAAUGGACGAAAGUCUGAUGCAGCAACGCCGCGUGGAGGAUGACACAUUUCGGUGCGUAAACUCCUUUUAUAUAGGAAGAUAAUGACGGUACCAUAUGAAUAAGCACCGGCUAACUCCGUGCCAGCCGCCGCAGUAAUAC